ACUCAAAUGAAUUGACGGGGGCCCGCACAAGCGGUGGAGCAUGUGGUUCAAUUCGAAGCAACGCGAAGAACCUUACCAGCCCUUGACUUGGGGAGUGUGGGUCGCAGAAACGUGACCCUUCAGUUCGGCUGGCUCCCACACAGGUGCUGCAUGGCUGUCGUCAGCUCGUGUCGUGAGAUGUUGGGUUAAGUCCCGCAACGAGCGCAACCCUCAUCUUCAGUUGCCAUCGGUACGGCCGGGCACUCUGAAGAAACUGCCGGUGACAAGCCGGAGGAAGGCGGGGAUGACGUCAAGUCCUCAUGGCCCUUACGGGCUGGGCUACACACGUGCUACAAUGGCGGUGACAAUGGGAUGCAAGGGGGCGACCCUGCGCCAAUCUCAAAAAGCCGUCUCAGUUCGGAUUGCACUCUGCAACUCGAGUGCAUGAAGUCGGAAUCGCUAGUAAUCGUGGAUCAGCACGCCACGGUGAAUACGUUCCCGGGCCUUGCACACACCGCCCGU
rnacentral:rRNA from 1 species